rnacentral:rRNA from 1 species
GACGAACGCUGGCGGCGUGCCUAACACAUGCAAGUCGAGCGGAGGCAUCUGAAGAGCAAUCGGAGGGUGCCUGAGCGGCGGACGGGUGAGUAACGCGUGAGCAACCUGCCUUUCACAGGGGGAUAACGCAGCGAAAGCUGCACUAAUACCGCAUGAGACCACAAUGGCGAUGCCAAAGGGGUCAAAGGAGCGAUCCGGUGAGAGAUGGGCUCGCGUCCGAUUAGGUAGUUGGUGAGGUAAAGGCCCACCAAGCCAAUGAUCGGUAGCCGGCCUGAGAGGGUGAACGGCCACAUUGGAACUGAGAGACGGUCCAAACUCCUACGGGUGCUG